rnacentral:rRNA from 1 species
AUGCCGGAGCAAGGCUCCGAUGAGUACGCGGAGCUGGAGCGCGAUCCGGAGAAGGUGUUCCUCCGCACCAUCACCCACCCGUCUCAUGCCCUCAUCGGCAUCUCGCUUGUCCAAGCAUUCGUCCGACGAGCUCUACGCCUCUACCUGGGGCAGCACGACACGCCGGAGUGGACGUCGGACGUCAGGGCGCUGGAGGCGUUCAAGCGGUUCGGCGCGAGGUUGGAGGACAUCGAGAAACAUGUGGUGGCCAUGAACGCGAACCCACAGCUGAUGAACCGCAGGGGACCGGCCAAAUUGGGCGGCCGCACUGCGUGUGUCAUACCCUUCUUGGAGGCGUCGCCUGGGGCGUUUGGGUGCUCGGUUUGA